CGUGAAAUUGUUGAAAGGGACACGCUUGAAGUCAGUCGCGUCUUCCAGGGAUCAAGUUACCUAUGGGUGACCGCACUUUCUGGUCGUCGGGUCAGCAUCAAUUUUGAUCGUUGGAUAAGGGCCUCGGGAAUGUGGGAUCUUCGGAUGUGCUAUAGUCCUUGGUCAGAUACAACCGUAGGGAGUGAGGAACUCAGUGUUUGCACUUAGGAUGCUGGCAUGAUGCCUUUAAUCGACCCGUCUUGAAACACGG
rnacentral:rRNA from 1 species